GUGCAAAGGCGAGCUGAAGAUCCAGAAGCUGCCCCCUCCUAGUCACAUGGCCCCACUUGCUGCAGGGCAAGCGAGGAAGUAUGGGUUUAGCUGAGCAGCUCUGUGUCUAGGUAAUUUGGGAGCCUUCUCACCAUGGAAAGAAGGAGAGAAUGGGUUUGGAGGACAACUGGCAAUCUCGGACACAAGUGAGGUUUAGAGCUUGUGCCCAGGAAUGCCUGGUGGGACAGACAGCAAACCCUUCUCUAACACUGAACCCAACUGGCCUGGCAGUCUUGGCUCUCCCAGCAGGGCCCAGGGACCACCAGUCAGGUGCUCCUCUAGGAGGGGGCCCUCAGUGAGGUCCAACCUGGCUUUUGCCUCUGACGUGUGACCCUGUUGGCUGCUCCUUCCUUCUUCAAAAUUGUUCUUUUCACUUCCAUGACAUUGCCCUCCUUCUCUUGUUACUCCACCUCUUGGCCUGUCUUUUCUUUGCUGGCUUUUCCCCCAGACCCACCCAGCGGUGGCUGGUCCCCAACACUCCUCUGCUUACACGAGGAGGUGGCUCACCUGCUCCUCCACCUCCAGCUGUCACCUCCCCAGGAGUCCUCAGCAUACGUCCACCCGCCUGUAGCUUGCUUUCCAUCGAGCUUUCUAGUUAUACUUUCAAUGCAACAGGGUCAGAUUGGAUUUGACUCACCCUCCCCCAAACCACCUCCACUCCCCAGCUUUCCCACUUAAGAAACGGGGAGACCAAUAGCAACUGGCCCUUGAGGACUGUACUUGGGCCAAGAUCACAGGCUUUAUGGCAUUAUCUCAUUGUCUCGGUCGCCGGGGCUAGACACUCUGGAGUUGUCUUCCCUCUUCAUCUGCAUCCAGUCAGCCACCAAAUUCUGCCCCCUCCUCCUUCUUUGCCAGUCUGAUGCUGAAUAGCCUCUUGGCUCUUGCCUAGCCUGUGUCCCUGGCCAGGCCCAUCUUCCUGCGAGCCCGGCCUUGUCCUUUCCCUCCCAGCAUCAGACUGGCAGUUAUUCCCUACUCCUCUUCACUCCAAGUCCAAACUGCCCGCCCUGGCUUUCGAGGUCCUCUGCCACUUCAUUGUUGCUUUUGGAUAACUCAUAUUUCUUUCAUUUAUUCCACAAAUUUGGAUCUAGUGCCUUCUGUGUGUGCCAGGCUCUGUGCCAGGCUCUAAGGCUACCGUAGGGAACAGGACAGACAUGGCACCUGCCCCAGGGGAUGCAGUCUACAGUGAAACAUACAAAGAAAACAAACCCAAAGCACUGCAGGUUGUGGAGAAGCGCUGAGGAGGACAUAAACAGGAGUCCUCCUGCCUGGAGGGGAGGAGCCCACUCACUGCUGCUCCAUCCUAUGUCUCCAUUUGGACCCUUCUGCCCCAUCACCUCCUAAAAUUUUUGUGUCCUUCCAGCCUCCAUAUCCUCUCUCCAGAUUACAUUGAUGCUUUCAUUCUCUCACUCAACAAUUACUGAGCUACUAUGUGCAGGCUCUGAGCCAGAUGUCAGGGUCCAGCAGAGAGUAUAAUGAAGUCGUUACCUUCUCUGGCCUUGUGGCCCACUUAGGGGACACUCAGCUCACAGACACCAGACGUAUAAUGCCAGGUGAUGACGUGGCGUCCUGAAAGGGAAGCAGUAGUAUACUCGGGUGGGUAAUUUGAGGAAGGGUUAGUAAAGGGAUCACCUCCCAAGGUGUGAGCAAGGUAUAGGAAAGGUAGUGUGUACCUGGGUGAGGGACAGGGGGCAGAGGGAGCAGUUACCAGAACCUGGAGAGGGGCCCACAUGAGAACCUUCUGCCAAGAGCUGAGCCCUUGGGUCACCGAGGGGCCAGUGAGCAGGCAGCCACCCUGCAGGGAGAGAGCCAGCCCAGGACUUAGGACUCUCACCCCACUUUCCUCCCUUCCACCUUCUGCUAUCCUGUCUCUUCUCUGCUGAACAGAAGCCGGAAGCCAGAGGCCACAGGGCCUGUCGAUGCAGGCAGGACGGGCCAGCCUCCCAGGGCACAGCGCAGGGUGGAGAAGGUGGAGAGUGAGUGAGCUGGAGGGAAAGGUGGGAGGAGCUGGGUGCCGAAGGGAUUGCUGUUUUGAAAGGGAGGGGAAGGAAAGCUGUCUUUGAGCAGAGCCUCGAAUGCACUGAUGGGGCCAGCUGUGUGGAAAAGCACUCCAGGGACAGGGAAAAGCAAGUGCACAAGCUCUGAGGCAGGAAUGUGUGCGCCUCUCGACAGCGAGGGGCCACGUGCCUGGAGGCUGGUGGGGGAGGGGUCAGGGAGGAGCAGGGGCCACCGUGCAAACCUCCUGGGCCCGUGGAAGGGCUGUGGGUGUUCUUCUGAGUGAGAUGGGCAGCAGGGGAGUGACAGGAGUCAUCUUGUUGAAAGAUCGUUCCGGCUGCCCGGUGAUAUUCUGGCUGCAGGGGGCGUGAGAAACACGAUGUCUCUUCAGUUAGUUUUGCGUAGUUUGGCAUUGGGCAAACGUGAUUCUACUAGGGGAACAGCCAACCACCCCAAAGCCGGGGGGAAGUUAGUCCUGGCCCCAAGAGAGCCAACAAGGAAUGACUGCUCCCUGCUGCCGGAGCCCUGGACCAAGGGGAGAGGAGGAAACGCAAACCCACGGAUAACUCCCUUCCCCGCGGCGUUUGCCGUGUAGUCAGGGAGACAGAUCAACACAGGAACCUGUUUAACACCACUUACCCAGACUGAGGAAGAACUGCCAAUAGAGGGUUGGACUGGAGGAUUUAAGGGCUGAAGCUGGUGCUGAGAUCCAAAUGGGGUGGGGUUAGCAAGUGAAGCUUCUGGAAGAGGCUCGUACUGAAACAAGUUUUUAGUUCUCUGACCAUCCACUGGCAGCGCCCAGGUGCAAGUGGGGGGCAGCUGGCCUCAGGGUGCAGAUUUCCGGUGGACACUCUCCCUCCUGGACAAAAAGGCAAGGUAUUUUCCCUCCUCUUGGAGCCAGUGGCUUACCCUCAUCUCCAUUUUAUUACGAGCUUUUCUCUUCCUUCUUUACUAAAAAGUUAUUUAAUAUUGAAUAGAUAAUAUAUGUGCACAGUAUAAAAUUGAAAAGCUAAAAAAAGAUAUAAAUGAUAACUAAGCGUCUCCCUCCUCCCCUGUUUCCCAGAAUCCCCGACUCUUCCCCAGAGGUUGCCAGUAUGUUGGUAUCAAUAUUACCUUAUGUAUUCUUCUGGAAACAGUCUGUGCAUCAAAUGCUAGUGUUUGUAUGUACUUUCUCUCAUUUUUACACAAUGGCAGAUACUGUAUAAACUAUCCAUGGUUUUUUUCCCACUUCCCAGUGUAACUUUUGGCAAUGGUUCCAUGUCAAUAAUAAAAAGCUUCUUCGUUCUGUCUCCUGGCUGCCCGGUGUUCCGUUGCAUGGCUCUCCCAUCACUCAUUUCACCAGUCCUCAGGUGACGGGCACGUAGCUCGUUCCCAGCCUUCUGCUGUUUCAAGCACGAUGCAGGCAGCAGCUUUGUGCACGUGUCAUGUUGCUGUAUGUGUGUCUGUGCCUACUAAAUGCAGAUGGAUGUCACUUGGUUCUUCUCACAAGAUGUAUCAAUUUACACACUCACCUCAGGGCCUGUUUCCUUAUAAUUUUGCCACGUUGGUGUCAAAACUUUUUAAACUUUGCCAGUCUGAUAGGUGGAAAAUGGUGUCUUGUUGUGGUUUUAUUUGAGUGGAGUUAAGCGUCUCUUCCCAUUCAUUGCACUGUAAAAAGCCAGUGUGUGUGAUUCAGCUGGAAUCAGACCCAUAAUCACUGUGUCGUGGGACGGUGCCCCAGGUGCUCUGCCAUCACAGAUGAGGGAGCAUGAACUCCUUCCGGGACGGUACUUUGGGAAGAACGUCCCAGGGCUGGUGACAUUUGAGCUGGCCCUUGAGCUUGACCAACUGGUAAAAGGAAGGAAGGACAUGCCAGGCAGAGAGAACAGAGACCACAGUGUCUGAGGGCAGACAGGGCUGAGUGUGGAAACAAAGGUUGAAGAUGGACCCUCAGGGCCUCACGGGCCUCGCUGAGGAGUUUGCGUUUUGAUCCUGCAAGGGUCGGGGUGCAGAUGAAUGACAGGAUGUAUCUGGGGACAAAUCCAUUUACUGAGCACCUGCCACAUGGCAGGCACUGUGCUAAGCACUUCACAUAGAUUAGAUCUGUUAAUGCUCACAGUGGCCCAACAAGGCGUUCCGAUUAUCAUCCCCAUUUACAUGUCUAUCAUCUCAUUUAUUAAUAGCACUAUUAUUUUCGCUGUUCAACAGAAGACGAAGCAGAGACUUAGAGGUUAAGUAACUUGUGCGAGGUCCCCAAAUUACUAAUUGGCUAAAUGGCUGGGCUUCAAGCCUUGCCCUCUCCUGACCACCGCCUGUCCAGAGUGGGCUAAUUUCUUGGAUGAGUGGGGCCUGAAGGGGUCAGAGCCUUCACAGGGAGCAAAGGCUGUUCUAAGACACCAGGCCCCCUCCCAACAUGCAACCUGUGAUAUCAGCUUCCAAGGAAUCUUCCGGAGGUCUCUGUGCACAGCAAGCAAAUGCAGACAUAUGCAUUUUUUUCCUUUAAAUGGUAGCGUACUGCAUAGACUCUUCUGCGUCCACUUUUUUUCCCACUUAAUAUCUCUUGGAGGUCAUUCCAUACUGGUUCAUAAAGAGCUUCCUCAUUUGUUUUUAUGUCUGCAAAGUGUUCCCUUGUGUGUCUUAUUCUAAUUUAUUACCAUGUCUCCAUUUAGAGAAAUUGAGACUAUUUCCAACAAACAGUCGUGCAGCAACACGAGGUCAUUUUGCUGGGAUAUCUGUAGGCCAGCUUCCUAAAGAGGAAUUCCUGGCCCACGAUACAGGUAACACUUCAGUAGCUAUUGCCCAAUGCCCGCCUUAGGGGCUGUAGCCUAGCGUCCCUCCAGGGAAGCAGAACCUGUUUCCCCACAGCCGGCUCAGCAUCGCGUAGGAUCAAACUCUUCAUCUUUUGCCAAUCUGAUAAGAGAAACAUGGCAUUUCAGGAUAGCUUUACUUUGCAUUUCUAUUUUUAUGACUGAGGUGAGUUUUCCCAUGGUGUGAUUUUAAAACAGUCUUCCCAGCACGACAUGCUGGCUGAGGAAGACCCAAGAUGUUCUCCGGAACAUGGGUUUCUCCUCUGUCCCUGGAGUGCUGUGGGCACCUGCGGAUCCUUUCAUUUCGGGAAUGCUCCUGGUGUACGUGCGCAUGGAGUGAGCAUUCCUUCUGAGACUGCAUUCCGGGGAGUGGGGCGCACCAUAUAAAUUGUCUCAGCUGCUCCCCUCAUAAGUUAUCCCCUCUCCAAUGCCAGAAGCUGCCCCUUCAUUGACCGUCCUCUCCUGAAAAUCCAAAUGGAAUGAGCAAACCAGUUAUCCUUCCCCCUCCCCCACAUUCAUUGGACCAGAUACAUUCUAGAGAAUUCUUCGACAUUGUCCUAAGCUACCAAGUGCUCCUCAGGUUGGCCAAUCUCCAGGAGAGCAAUAGCAAAGGUCAAAAGAGACUCACAUGUAAGCAUGCCCAAGUUCUGUACUCCUUCCAAACCCUACUGGAGCAGGAUGCUGUCCCCACAGGCUUGCCAGAGACAGUGGUACCUGGGCCUGGGCCCUGUCUUGAUGGCCUUAGUGACAAGGCCAGCUGUAGCCCUCUGGAAGAUCAACUGCCCCAGAGGAUGUGGACCCUGUCCUGGAGGAGCCCAAGGCGAGUCCUGCUGUGCCUUCUGAAAUGCUUUGUCCCUCCUCUCAGAGGCCCUCACUGCAUAGCCCAAAUGCACCAGGUCUCGUGGCCUUGCCUGAAGUCUUCCUCUGGCUUCAUGGAAUGCUCUAGAAACUUUGGGAGCUCGUCACGGAGUGUGUCCCCAGUUUGUCCAAGGGAGGCCUGCAUCCUUCCCAAGCUCUCAGAAGCACCCAGGAACCCUCUUCCCCCAUAGCGUCUCCUUGAAGGGCCUGGCUACACGGCCAUCUCUAACCCACCCACCUGGACUGGUUCUGACCCACUCCCACCCCCACAGCUCCAGCUCUGUUCUCCCUUCCCUCUCAGGGUUCCUCCCCCUCAAAAUAAUUUUAUAUAACUUAGUAAUAAUAGCUUAUAAAUUUAUAUAGCAUUUACUAUGUGCCAAGUACUAUUUUAAAUAUUUUAUUUACAUUCAUUCAUGUAAUAAAUGGACACAGGACAAAAUUUUAAAGGUGCAAAAGGAUAAACAGUAAAAACUAAGUCCUCCUUCUCA